AAAUUGAAGAGUUUGAUCAUGGCUCAGAUUGAACGCUGGCGGCAGGCCUAACACAUGCAAGUCGAGCGGUAGCACAGGGAGCUUGCUCCUGGGUGACGAGCGGCGGACGGGUGAGUAAUGUCUGGGAAACUGCCUGAUGGAGGGGGAUAACUACUGGAAACGGUAGCUAAUACCGCAUAACGU
rnacentral:rRNA from 1 species